rnacentral:rRNA from 1 species
CCUACGGGUGGCAGCAGUGGGGAAUAUUGCACAAUGGGGGAAACCCUGAUGCAGCGACGCCGCGUGAGCGAUGAAGUAUUUCGGUAUGUAAAGCUCUAUCAGCAGGGAAGAAAAUGACGGUACCUGACUAAGAAGCCCCGGCUAACUACGUGCCAGCAGCCGCGGUAAUACGUCGGGGGCAAGCGUUAUCCGGAUUUACUGGGUGUAAAGGGAGCGUAGACGGCGGUGCAAGCCAGAUGUGAAAGCCGGGGGCUCAACCCCGGGACUGCAUUUGGAACUGUGCUGCUAGAGUGUCGGAGGGGCAGGCGGAAUUCCUAGUGUAGCGGUGAAAUGCGUAGAUAUUAGGAGGAACACCAGUGGCGAAGGCGUUCUGCUGGACGAUGACUGACGUUGAGGCUCGAAAGCGUGGGGAGCAAACAGGAUUAGAUACCCGUGUAGUC